rnacentral:rRNA from 1 species
AUGCCAAGGCAAGGAGCUUCAAUGCCGUUUCUUUUAAAGAACGAAAAAGGAAAGAAAUAUGGAGGUAUUACGUGCGUGGCAGCCGUCCAUCUCGCUCGAGGUUCUAAUUCUACUACGUACUUCGAUCGAGUGAUCCGCCAUGGGCGACCACUGGUUGGCGCGUUCAGAUUUCAGAAGGAAGGGGAGGCGCGGGGCGGGCACGGCUGCGACGGCCAGAACUGCGCGGGCUUGACCUUGGAGACGCUGGUGAGCACGCCCAGCGGCGUCACGUCGCCCGCCACCGUCACCUUCUUGCUCGGGAUGUCGAUGUCGAACGACGUCACGCCCUCCAUCUUGGCGAUGUGCUUCUUCACCUUGCCCGCGCAGCCCUUGCAGUGCAGCGACACGCGCAGCACCACCACCUGCGUCGUCCUCGCUGCCGCCGUCGUCGAGGACGACCGCGCCAGCGCCGCCGCCUUGUGCUGCUCCGUGUCUUGGACGGCCGUGAUCUCUGAUGACGACGAAGCAGAGGAGGACGUCCCUGACGACGAAGACUCUGCUUGGUGCACAGUCGACGGCGGCGCGUCCUUGGCGAAGGGAGCCGGCAGGGAGGCGUCGGCCGGGAACGCGUCGAUGAAGGACGGCGGCGGAGGCUUCCCUUCGCCGCCGGGGAACGCGUCGAUGAAGGACGGCGGCGGAGGCGGGGGCAACGCGAGGACGUCGAGGUCGUCGGACUGCAGCCGGGAGGAGUUGAGGAGGAACCUGGAGGAGGUGGCCGGGCUGACCAGCCUCUUCUCCGAAGAUCUAGUACCGCCACUGAUACCAGCAGCACCAGCAGUGGUGCUCUUCUUCUUCUUCUUGGUGCCGUGGCCGUGCAGCUGGUGCUGGGAGUCCUCUGAGAGCGCCGAGUCUUUGGUGGUGCUACUGGUGCUUGGCCUUGGCGGCUUGGAGGUGGAGGAGCGGUGUGGGUCGCGGAGGCGCGGCGAGUGGCGGUCGAUGGCCCGGCCGCUGCUGCUGCCGACGCCGUUGGUGGUGGUGGUUGAGGCGAUGAUGUUGGUGGCGUCGGCGGAGGAGCAGGAGAUGGAGAUGGAGAUGGACGGCAGGCCCAGCCGCUUGUGA